rnacentral:rRNA from 1 species
AUUAAAACAAUUACGCUGUUAUCCCCAAAGUAACUUAAUUUAUUAAUCUCUUAAAAGAGGAUCAAAAUUAUGGAAAUUUCUAUAAACAUUAUAACUUUCAAUUAUAUUAUAGAAGUCAAAUAUUUCAACGACCGCCCCAGUCAAAUUUUCACAGCCCUUAUAUAAGGGCUGUGAAAAUAAAGCUUCAUGGGGUCUUCUCGUCCUCCUAACGUUAUCUCUUCCUUUUCAAAGAAAAGUUAAAUUAAAUCUUUACAAACUGAGACAAUAUUAAGUUCAUUAACCCCGUCAUUCCAUCUUACAAUUAAUAAACUAAUUAUUAUACUAACCUUGCAA